CCGCUCCCUCCCCCGCCAGUGCUCUGGGCCUCGAGGUGCUGCGCUGCUCCCGGAGGGCCUGGGGCCUGGCCAGGCCCGUCCCUCGCUUCGCGGUCGGCGGGAGCGAGGCAAGCGGCGCUCGCCUCAGUUUCCCCUUUGGCUUCUCUUGUGUACAUCCCGCCCCCUCCCCACAGCCCCGGACUUGCUUCCGCGCUAUUCCUCGGCAGAUGGUAGGGACUUAAUUCCGCCCGCUGCCCAGCUUGGCCGCAACCUAAUCGCCCCCGGCCGGGCGCCGGCCCCUCGCCCUCCUUUGCGCAGCAGGCCCUGGGCCCGGGCAAAGGGCAGUGGAGCCCCGCCCUACCCGGGUCCCUUCACUCUCUUCUACUUGAGCCCCUUCCUUCGGUUUGGGGGGAAGAACAGAGGGAAAAGGAGGCGGGGGCAGAGGGGAGCCCAGGAGACCGGGCACUGCAGCCGCAGAAAGGCCUGGGCUUUGCACGGGGGUCGCCUCCUCGGCCUUGAGCUCGCUGCACGGUCGCCUGCCUGCUUCAGGUGGCUCUCGGGUGACCUCUAAGUCAUUUGCGCGCCGGAGGAGGAGGUGGUUCCAGAGGUCUGGGACCUGCCGCUAUGGGGGACAUGAAGACCCCUGAUUUUGAUGACCUCCUUGCUGCCUUUGACAUCCCUGACAUCGAUGCAAAUGAAGCUAUACACUCUGGGCCAGAAGAAAGUGAGGGGCCCGGAGGCCCGGAAGCCAGAGCCCAGUGUGGGAGGAGAAACUGAAGGCACAGCAGCAGCAGCUGAGGAUGACCCCGAGGUUCCAGGUGCCAUACCUCUGAGCACGGCCUGCAGUGCCAGACACUUCCACAGUCAGCGUCAUCGUGAAGAACACUGUGUGUCCGGAGCAGUCUGAGACCCUGGCUGGGGGUGCAGGAAGGGGAAGGGCCCAGGCUGGGGGAGUAACCAAGGAAGAUGCUUCAGGGGCUUCUCUGAUGCGAGGAUGGAUUUGGGGUCUGUGAACCAUCCCUUCCAGGAGCCCCACCCUCCCCAGCUCCUUCCAGUGAGGGUACCUGGAAGGAAAAAGCUGUGGAAGGCAAAGCCCCCUUGGACCUCUUUGCUCAUUUUGGUCCUGAGCCAGGGAGCACCCAGACCCCCUGCCUCCUCCUGCGCCCUCCCCCACCUCCUGACGGGGCCAUGAGCCCUCCUCCUUUCCCCUCACCCCUUUGAGCUGGCCCAGGAGAAUGGCCCCACGCUGUUGCCACCUAGCUCUUCCCCACAGUCUGGGGCCCUUGAAGCAGGGGCUGCUGCAGCCCACUUCAUCCCCAGGGCCAAGGCCAGCGAGGCUCAGGCUCUAGUCCUGAGGCCACAGGCAUCCCUGAAGGAACCUCGCCUCCCCAGGUUGAUGGGGUGCCCUUUUUUCAAGCAGUCCCCAGGGCACCAGAGCCCUCCUGCCUCUCCUGACGUGCCCAGCUCUAAGCACCUGAAGGAAGAUGAGGGGCUGGUGGUCAAGUCUCCCCCCUCGAAGUCCCCAGAGUCCCUCUAGUGGUGCCGAGGCUGCAGAUGAGGACAGCAACGACUCCCUGCCUCCUCCAACUCCUCUCGGCCCCUCAAGGUGCGGAUCAAGACCAUUAAGACAUCCUGUGGGAAUAUCACGAGGACUGUAACCCGGGUCCCCUCAGACCCUGACCGCCCUGCCCCUUGGCCGAGGGGGGCCUUCCUGGCCGAGGCUGAGCCUCCUGAAGCUGUCCCCUGCGGCUCCAGCCCCCGAGGCCCCGAAGGUGGUGAGUGUGCAGCUGGGCGACGGCACAAGGCUGAAAGGCACAGUGCUGCCCGUGGCCACCAUCCAGAACGCCAGCACUGCCAUGCUGAUGGCAGCUAGUGCUGGCCCGAAAGGCUGUGGUUCUGCCUGGGGGCUCUGCCACCAGCCCGAAGAUGAUGGCUAAGAACGUUCUAGGCCUGGUGCCCCAAACCCUGCCCAAAGCUGAAGGGCGUAAGGGGCUGGGGACCGGGGGUCAGAAGGUGAACAGGGCCUCAGUGGUGAUGGUGCAGCCGCC
rnacentral:lncRNA from 1 species